UACGAAGGGGGCUAGCGUUGCUCGGAAUCACUGGGCGUAAAGGGUGCGUAGGCGGGUCUUUUAAGUCAGGGGUGAAAUCCGUGGAGCUCAACUCCAGAACUGCCUUUGAUACUGAAGAUCUUGAGUUCGGGAGAGGUGAGUGGAACUGCGAGUGUAGAGGUGAAAUUCGUAGAUAUUCGCAAGAACACCAGUGGCGAAGGCGGCUCACUG
rnacentral:rRNA from 1 species